GCCUGGUUAGCUCAGUCGGUAGAACAUCAGACUUUUAAUCUGAGGGUCAUGGGUUCAAGUCCCAUACCGGGCG
rnacentral:tRNA from 1 species